GUAGUAUUCCCUCCGUCCCAAAAUUCUUGUCUUACAUUUGUUUAGAUACAGAUGUAUCUAACACUAAAAUGUAACUAGAUACAUCCGUAUUUAGACAAAUUUAAGACAAGAAUUUUGGGACGGAGGGAGUAAAAA
rnacentral:pre_miRNA from 1 species